rnacentral:lncRNA from 1 species
GACCAUCAAAGGUGCUGGACGAGGAGCUGGGCUGGCUUUCGGCGAGAAGCCAACAAGGAUCACCGAGCCUGGAGGUUGUGGAAUACGCAGAUCCUGGGCAAGGAGCAGCGAGGUGCUGGGCGAGGAGUUAUGCCGGCUUCCGAGCUCAACUUCUCCUGGCCUUCUCCCCUGGCUCCCCUGGCUCAAGGCUAGCUGCACCUUGCCGACGACGCGGGGAAGAAGGAAGGCAGUGCUGGCGAGGUGCGCUGGGGCUGGUGGCCGGCGGCCGGCGAGGUGUGGUCCUGGGGCCGGCGGUGACCAGGAAUCUGGGCGGCGAUGAGGACGAGAUCCUGGGCGGCGGUGAGCGGGAGAUCCUGGGCGGAGAAGUUGGGCGCCAGGUGAGCAGCAAGGAGAUCUUGGGCGCGAGGUGGGCAGCGGCGCGCUGGGUGAGGAGAAGCCGGGCGCGAGGUGGGCGACGACACGCUAGGCGAGGAGAAGCUGGGCGCAAGGUGGGCGAUGACGCGCUGGGCGAGGUGAUUCCGAUAUUUUUUGAAUUUCAAAUUGAUCGAUUGGAAGGGGUAUUGUUGUCCAUUACCGAUUUUUUGGGGCUGUCGGAAAUUUUCUUCCGCGCCUUGCUACAUCUUGAGCACUGCGUUGGUUUUCCCUAGAAAAGGAAAGGGUGUUGCAGCAAAGUAGCGUAAGUAUUUUCCUCAGUUUUUGAGAACCAAUGUAUCAAUCCAGUAGGAGGCUACGCGCGAGUCCUUCGUAUCUGCACAAUACAAAUAAAUCCUCGCAACCAACGCGAUAAGGGGUUGUCAAUCCCUUCACGGUCACUUACGAGAGUGAGAUCUGAUAGAUAUGAUAGGAUAAUAUUUUUGAUAUCUUUGUGAUAAAGAUGCAAAGUAAAAUAAAAGCAAAGUAAAAAGCAAAGGAAAUAACUAAGUGUUGGAAGAUUAAUAUGAUGAAGAUAGACCCGGGGGCCAUAGGUUUCACUAGUGGCUUCUCUCAAGAGCAUAAGUAUUUUACGGUGGGUGAACGAAUUACUGUUGAGCAAUUGACAGAAUUGAGCAUAGUUAUGAGAAUGUCUAGAUAUGAUCAUGUAUAUAGGCAUCAUGUCUGAGACAAGUAGACCGACUCCUGCCUGCAUCUACUACUAUUACUCCACUCAUCGACCGCUAUCCAGCAUGCAUCUAGAGUAUUAAGUUCAUGAAAACAGAGUAAUGCCUUAAGCAAGAUGACAUGAUAUAAAGGGAUAAAUUCAUGCAAUAUGAUAAAAACCUCAUCUUGUUAUCCUCGAUGGCAACAAUACAAUACGUGCCUUGCUGCCCCUACUGUCAUUGGGAAAGGACACCGCAAGAUUAAACCAAAGCUAAGCACUUCUCCCAUUGCAAGAAAGAUCAAUCUUAGUAGGCCAAACCAAACUGAUAAUUCGAAGAGACUUGCAAAGAUAACCAAUCAUACAUAAAAGAAUUCAGAGAAGAUUCAAAUAUUGUUCAUAGAUAAUCUUGAUCAUAAACCCACAAUUCAUCGGUCUCAACAAACACACCGCAAAAAAAAAGAGAUUACAUCGAGAGAGGGGGAGAACAUUGUAUUGAGAUCCAAAAAAAGAGAAGAAGCCAUCUAUCUACUAACUAUGGACCCGAAGGUCUGAGGUAAACUACUCACACUUCAUCGGAGAGGCUAUGGUGUUGAUGUAGAAGCCCUCCGUGACGGAUGCCCUCUCUGGCGGAGCUCCGGAACAGGCCCCAAGAUGGGAUCUCGUGGGUACAGAAGGUUGCGGCGGUGGAAUUAGGUUUUUGGCUCCGUCUCUGAUCGUUUGGGGGUACGUAGGUAUAUAUAGAAGGAAGGAGUACGUUGGUGGAGCAACAGAGGGCCCACAAGGGCGGAGGGCGCGCCCUGGGGGGUGGGCGCGCCCCCUACCUCGUGGCUUCCUCUUUUGUUUCUUGACGUAGGGUCCAAGUCUUUCGGAUCAUAAUCUUCCUAAAAAUCACGUUCCCGAAGGUUUCAUUUCGUUUGGACUCCGUUUGAUAUUCCUUUUCUGCGAAACUCUGAAAUAGGCAAAAAACUGCAAUUCUGUGCUGGGCCUCCGGUUAAUAGUUUAGUCCUAAAAAUAAUAUAAAAAUGAAUAAUAAAGCCCAAUAAUGUCCAAAACAGUAGAUAAUAUAGCAUGGAGCAAUCAAAAAUUAAAGAUACGUUGGAGACGUAUCAAGCAUCCCCAAGCUUAAUUCCUGCUCGUCCUCGAGUAGAUAAAUGAUAAAAAGAUAAUUUUUGAUGUGGAGUGCUACUUCGCAUAAUUUGAAUGUAAUUUUUCUUAAUUGUGGUAUGAAUAUUCAGAUCUGAAAGAUUCAAGAUAAAAGUUCAUAUUGACAUAAAAAUAAUAAUACUUCAAGCAUACUAACUAAGCAAUUAUGUCUUCUCAAAAUAACAUGGCCAAAGAAAGUUCAUCCCUAUAAAAUCAUAUAGUUUAGUCAUACUCCAUUUUUGUCACACAAGAAUGCUCUCAUCAUGCACAACCCCGAUGAAAAGCCAAGCAAUUGUUUCAUACUUUAGAAAUCUCAAACCUAUAAACUUUCACGCAAUAUAUGAGCGCGAGCCAUAGACAUAGCACUAUGGGUGGAAUAGAAUAUGAUGAUGGGGUUAUGUGGAGAAGACAAAAAAGAGAAAGUCUCACAUCAACGAGGCUAAUCAAUGAGUUAUGGAGAUGCCCAUCGAUUGAUGUUAAUGCAAGGAGUAGGGAUUGCCAUGCAACAGAUGCACUAGAGCUAUAAAUGUAUAAAAGCUCAACAAAAGAAACUAAGUUGGUGUGCAUCCAACUUGUUUGCUCAUGAAGACCCAGGGCAUUUGAGGAGACCCAUUGUUGGAAUAUACAAGCCAAGUUCUAUAAUGAAAAAUUCCCACUAGUAUAUGAAAGUGACAAAACAAGAGACUCCUUAUCAUGAAGAUUAUGGUGCUACUUUGAAGCACAAGUGUGGCAAAGAAUAGUAGCAUUGUCCCUUCUCUCUUUUUCUCUCAUUUUUUGGGCUUCUCUUUUUUAUGGCCUUUUUUUUAUUCCUCACUUGGGACAAUGCUCUAGAAAAUGAUGAUCAUCACACUUCUAUUUAUUACAACUCAAUGAUUACAACUCGAUACUAGAACAAAGUAUGACUUUAUAUGAAUGCCUCCGGCGGUGUACCGGGAUAUGCAAUGAACCAAGAGUGAUGUGUAUGAAAGAAUUAUGAACGGUGGCUUUGCCACAAAUACUAUGUCAACUACAUGAUCAUGCUAGCAAUAUGACAAUGAUGAACGUGUCAUGAUAAACGGAAUGGUGGAAAGUUGCAUGGCAAUAUAUCUCGGAAUGGCUAUGGAAAUGCCAUAAUAGGUAGGUAUGGUGGCUGUUUUGAGGAAGAUAUAAGGAGGUUUAUGUGUGAAAGAGCGUAUCGUAUCACGGGGUUUGGAUGCACCGGCGAAGUUUGCACCAACUCUCAAUGUGAGAAAGGGCAAUGCACGGUACCGAAGAGGCUAGCAAUGAUGGAAGGGUGAUGGACUCAACAUUAGUCAUAAAAAACUCACAUACUUAUUGCAAAAAUCUACAAGUCAUAAAAACCAAGCACAACGCGCAUGCUCCUAGGGGGAUAGAUUGGUAGGAAAAGACCAUCGCUCGUCCCCGACCGCGACUCAUAAGGAGGACAAUCAAAGAACACAUAAUGUUUCAAAUUUGUUACAUAACGUUACCAUACGUGCAUGCUACGGGACUUGCAAACUUCAACACAAGCAUUUCUCAAAUUCACAACUACUCAACUAGCACGACUUUGAUACUAUUACCUCCAUAUCUCAAAACAAUCAUCAAGCAUCAAACUUCUCUUAGUAUUCAACACACUCAUAAGAAAGUUUUUACUAUUCUUGAAUACCUAGCAUAUUAAGAUCAUUUAAGCAAAUUACCAUGCUAUUUAAGACUCAAAAUAAUCUAAGUGAAGCAUGAGAGAUCAAUAGUUUCUAUAAAACAAAUCCACCACCGUGCUAUAAAAGAUAUAAGUGAAGCACUAGAGCAAAACUAUAUAACUCAAAAGAUAUAAGUGAAGCACAUAGAGUAUUCUAAUAAUUUUCAAAUCAUGUAUGGCUCUCUCAAAAGGUGUGUACAACAAGGAUGAUUGUGGUAAACUAAAAAGCAAAGACUCAAACCAUACAAGACGCUCCAAGCAAAACACAUAUCAUGUGGUGAAUAAAAAUAUAGCUCCAAGUAAAGUUACCGAUGGAAGUAGACGAAAGAGGGGAUGCCUUCCGGGGCAUCCCAAGCUUUGGCUUUUUGGUGUCCUUAGAUUAUUUUGGGGGUGCCAUGGGCAUCCCCAAGCUUAGGCUCUUGCCACUCCUUAUUCCAUAAUCCAUCAAAAAUCUUUCACCCAAAACUUGAAAACUUCACAACACAAAACUCAACAGAAAUCUCGUGAGCUCCGUUAGCGAAAGAAAACAAAAGACCACUUCAAGGUACUGUAAUGAACUCAGUCUUUAUUUAUAUUGGUGUUAAACCUACUGUAUUCCAACUUCUCUAUGGUUUAUAAACUAUUUUAUUAGCCAUAGAUUCAUCAAAAUAAGCAAACAACACACGAAAAAUAGAAUCUGUCAAAAACAGACAGUUUGUAGUAAUCUGGAACUAACGCAAACUUCUGAAACUUCAAAAAAUCAACCAAAAUAGGACGACCUAGGCAAUUUGUUUAUUGAUCAGCAGCAAUUGGAAUCACUAUUUUAUCACGUUCUGGUGAUUUUUAACAAUUGUUUUCGUGAACAGAAAGUUUCUGAAAAUUACAGCAAGAUCAAAUAACUAUCAUCCAAGAAGAUCUUAUAGGUUUAACUUGGCACAAACACUAAUUAAAACAUAAAAAAAAAAUCUAACCAGAGGCUAGAACAAAGAUUUAUUGAAUAACAGCAAGGAAAAAUAUUGGGUUGUCUCCCAACAAGCGCUUUUGUUUAAAUCCUUUUAGCUAGGCAUUGAUAAUUUGAUGAUGCUCACAUAAAAGAUAGUAAUUGAAACACAAAGAGAGCAUCAUAAAACAUGUGAAAAUCACAUAUAAGUCUAACAUACUUCCUAUGCAUAGGCAUCUUGUAGGCAAACAAAUUAAGGCAAGCAAAAACUAGCAUAUGCAAGGAAGCGGAAAGAAACAAUAGCAAUCUCAACAUAACGAGAGGUAAUUUAGUAACAUGAAAAUUUUCACAACCAUAUUUUCCUCUCUCAUAAUAAUUACAUGUAGGAUCAUAAGAAAAUUCAACAAUAUAGCUAUCACAUAACAUAUUCUCAACACGAUCCACAUGCAUGCGAAGUUGACACUCUUCCAAAAUAGUGGGAUUAUCAUUAACUAAAGUCAUGAUUUCUCCAAGCCCACUUUUAUAAAAAAUUUCAUAAGAUUGAAUAUUAUCCAAAUAUGUGGGAUCUAAAGUUGACACUCUUUCAAACCCACUUUCAAUAUUAUUGCAAACACUAUUAUCAAUCUUAUAUUCAUCAUGGGGCUUAAAUAAAUUUUCAAGAUCAUAAGAAGAAUCUCCCCAAUCAUGAUUAUUGCAACAGGUAGUGGACAUAGCAAAACUAGCACCCCCAAGCUUAGGGUUUUGCAUAUUAUUAGCAUAAUUUACAUCAAUAGAAUUUAUAAUAAAAUCAUUGCAAUCAUGCUUUUUAUUCAAAGAUCUAUCGUGAAUCACUUCAUAAAGCACUUCAUCACAAUUUUCAGAUUCACGAAUUUCAAGCAAAACCUUAUAAAGAUAAUCUAGUGCAUCCAAAUCACUAGGAAUUGGUUCAUCAUAAUUGGAUCUCUUAAAAAGAUUGGCAAGCAGAUGAGGAUCCAUAGAUAUUAGCUUCUCUGUUUAGGAAUAAAUACUCAACUAUUUCAACCAAACGGGCAAACGAGCCAAGUAAGACAUUAAGGCAAAUGAAAAGAGAGGGCGAAUAAAAUGGCAAGGGUGAAGUGGGGGAGAGGAAAACGAGUGGCAAAUGGCAAAUAAUGUAAUGCGGGAGAUAAGGGAUUGUGAUGGGUACUUGGUAUGUUGACUUUUGUGUAGACCUCCCGGCAACGGCGCCAGAAAUCCUUCUUGCUACCUCUUGAGCACUGCGUUGGUUUUCCCUUAAAGAGGAAAGGGUGAUGCAACAAAGUAGCGUAAGUAUUUCCCUCAGUUUUUGAGAACCAAGAUAUCAAUCCAGUAAUCCAGUAGGAGGCUACGCGCGAGUCCCUCGUACCUGCACAAUACAAAUAAAUCCUCGCAACCAACGCGAUAAGGGUUGUCAAUCCCUUCACGGUCACUUACGAGAGUGAGAUCUGAUAGAUAUGAU